GAUGAUGUGGUGGCAUAUUGCUGUCUAGUUACUUCCCAUGCCCCACCCCUCCCCUCACACUGUGCCAUAAUUUGCUUCUUUGCAUUCUGCUUCUUUUGCUCCAGGGAUGAAAAGAAUAAGAAAUACCACUGGUGAAGCUUAAAUGCUACUCUCUUCUGUCCUGACCUUGCUGUAUGGGGAUACCUCUGCAGAUUCAUUGCAUGGGAAUAUUGGUGAUGCUGAGGUGUGGAGUAUGAGAAAUUGAAGCUAAGCUGGAUUUGUUAGCAAUUUUCAGACACAGCACAGUUCAACUUCGCUGACUUGGUUAUACUGACGAGAAACUGGUACCCAUUCGUUUUCGAAAGAAGGUGGCUGCUUGCAAGGUGGAUA
rnacentral:lncRNA from 13 species